rnacentral:rRNA from 1 species
UACGUAGGGUGCGAGCGUUAAUCGGAAUUACUGGGCGUAAAGCGUACGCAGGCGGCUAUGCAAGACAGAUGUGAAAUCCCCGGGCUCAACCUGGGAACUGCAUUUGUGACUGCAUGGCUAGAGUCCGCAAGAGGGGGGUGGAAUUCCACGUGUAGCAGUGAAAUGCGUAGAGAUGUGGAGGAACACCGAUGGCGAAGGCAGCCCCCUGGGGUGAGACUGACGCUCAUGUACGAAAGCGUGGGGAGCAAACAGG